GCGCCUGUAGCUCAGUGGUAGAGCAACCGGCUUUUAACCGGUUGGUCCUGGGUUCGACCCCCAGCGGGCGCA
rnacentral:tRNA from 1 species